rnacentral:rRNA from 1 species
UACGUAGGGUGCGAGCGUUAAUCGGAAUUACUGGGCGUAAAGCGUGCGCAGGCGGUUCGUUGUGUCGGCGGUGAAAGCCCCGGGCUCAACCUGGGAAUGGCCGUUGAAACUGGCGAACUGGAGUGUGGCAGAGGGGGGUGGAAUUCCGCGUGUAGCAGUGAAAUGCGUAGAUAUCGCCUGGAACGCCGAAGGUGAAAACAGUCUGCUGGGGGCGUACCGACGCUGAGACACGAAAGCCAGGGGAGCGAACGGG